rnacentral:lncRNA from 1 species
UUGAGCUUCAGCGGCAACCUUUUACUUGAAAAUCGAGAGUACUGCAAAUCCUUCAAUCAGUAAUUGAAUAAGAAAUAGAGAUUUUGUAUCAAGAUAAAAUGGAAAAGUAAAUAGCCAAAUUUGAUUCGAAAAGCUAAAUAUUAACAUCAACAUCGGAAAUCGUACAGCAUAAUUGAAGUUUUCACAAUCUUAAUAGCGAUUAUGUUAAACAAGACAAAACCUGUGCUAAAAAAUACUAACUGGUAUCUCCUGGAGGACAAAUGCUCAAUUUUGACAAAAGUAAAUAAAAAAGGAGGAGAAAAAAAUCAACGGUAGCCAAAAAUAACGUGUACAAAUUAGAGCAAAAUUAAAAUUUUUAUCUGUUCCUUUGCAUUUCAUAUCAAGUUUAUCAACUCAACAGCCAAUAAUUAUCUCAUCCAUUUCAAAUUCUAAAGAGAACGUGUUAAAAUUUUUACUUGUUGUUUCUCACUAAAUACCAUUGAAGUACAAAAACCCCUAACGCCAUUAAAGCUUCAAUACAAAAGUGUGCAAAACAAAUAAGAUACUCAAAAGGGAAGAAAUAAAAGGAGGAUGGAGAAAGGAAAAAGGAAAGCUCCUAAACAAAUAUCUGAUUUUGGAUCCUCCUAAAUUUCUCAAGUCUAGUUUUAAGUUAUGAUUUGACAUUACCCUUAAAAAAAAAAUUAUGAUUUGACAAGCGGUCGCUAUCCAUAGGAUAGGUACUGUUUAAUGGGUAUUGACCCUCCUCAGUAUUUUAUUUUUUUGCAAAAGUAAGCAUUUAGUGACUAAACAAUCAGGGUAGGAAAAAAAUCAAAAAAGGAACAAGAAAGGAUAGGGAGAUAAACUGAAGUAAGAGACAAAAUUAAAUGCUCGAAAAGUUAAAGCAUGCCACUGAACAUUAAAGGGCUGUCGGUGCUAUAAUUACAUUUUUGUCAAGUUAAUUAACCAAUAAUGGACUUCCAAUUCCAAAACAUUUUUAUGGAGUGCCAAGACCAUUCGUUAUUCUCAUUUGUUUAAAGUUUUUGAUAAUACUGUGAAUGAGGGAAAUAAUUAUUUACGGUGGAAAUGAAGAUUUUGCAUCAAUAAAUAGUGAAAAAGAUUGGAAAUGAAGAUUUUGUAUCCACAAAAAGUGAAAAUGAUUGUACAGAAAGCUGAAAAGGAAAAGUGUGAAUAUCAUAUCAGCUGUUGUUGUUAACUACAGAGUAUAAAUAUUUAUUCGGUGAUUGGCUGAAUUAAAACAGGCGAAAAUCCUUUACUGGGUAAUUUACCAUUGACCAUCACCAGACCCAGUCCCAGUCCCCAGUCCGCUGCCUUUCUGCUUCUGUCCGCUUCCCAUCGGUCUGCCACCCAUACAUAUACCCUCGCGAGAUAUUUGCAAAAUUAAAUCCACACCUUAUUAGAGUAGUAAAUAAAAAAUAAACCUCCAUGUCGAAAAGUCAGGCCAGAGAUUGGAAGCGGCUUCGAAGGAAGCUUAGCCGCCGGCUUGGAUUGCUGCUGCUGAGCAGCUGCAGGAGCUGGGGUUUUCUUAGCUGCGGCCACAGGAACCUUCUGAGCAGCAAUCAGCUGUGAUGGGUCUUCAGUGUCAUCAUCUCCCAGUAAAUCAAAUGGGUUUAAAGUCGCCAUUUUCAACUAUCAAAACCAACCCACAAAAACCCCUCAGACUUCCUUUUCAACCGGACCUUUUUCAAGAAAGAUUAAUCAGCGGUAUAUCCAUUGUGUAUCAAAAUAUUUCAUCGAUCUAUACUAUCGAAGAAGAGAGACCAGAGAAACAGAGAGAGACAAGGUUUGAUGAAGCCACGGUUCAGUUUAUAGCAUGAAUAAAUGAAGCAUAAACGAAGCAGAAGGCAGUAAGAUAAAGCAAAAAGUUGUGGGCUUAUACAAAUAGCUGCGGGAC